UACGUAGGGACCAAGCGUUGUCCGGAAUUAUUGGGCGUAAAGAGCGUGUAGGCGGCUUGUCAAGUCUGAUGUGAAAUCUCGGGGCUCAACCCCGAAACUGCAUUGGAAACUGACUUGCUAGAGUCCGGAAGAGGAGAUUGGAAUUCCUGGUGUAGCGGUGAAAUGCGCAGAUAUCAGGAAGAACACCCGUGGCGAAGGCGGAUCUCUGGGACGGUACUGACGCUGAGACGCGAAAGCGUGGGUAGCAAACAGG
rnacentral:rRNA from 1 species